CCUACGGGUGGCUGCAGUGAGGAAUAUUGGUCAAUGGGCGGAAGCCUGAACCAGCCAAGUCGCGUGAGGGAUUAAGGCCCUGCGGGUCGUAAACCUCUUUUGCCGGGGAGCAGAGGUCCGGACGUGUCCGGGCCGGGAGAGUACCCGGAGAAAAAGCAUCGGCAAACUCCGUGCCAGCGGCCGCGGUAAUACGGAGGAUGCGAGCGUAUUCCGGAUUUAUUGGGUUUAAAGGGGGUGCAGGCGGCGAGUUAGGUCAGCGGUAAAAUUUCGGGGGUCAACCCCGACAAGCCGUUGAAACUGGCUUGCUAGAGGGGGCGAGAGGUAUGCGGAAGGCGUGGUGUAGCGGUGAAAUGCAUAGAUAUCACGCAGAACUCCGAUUGCGAAGGCAGCAUACCGGCGCCCAACUGACGCUCAGGCACGAAAGCGUGGGUAUCGAACAGGAUUAGAUACCCUUGUAGUC
rnacentral:rRNA from 1 species